UACGUAGGUGACGAGCGUUAUCCGGAUUUAUUGGGUGUAAAACGCACGCAGGCGGUGCAACAAGUCUGACGUGAAAUCUCCCGGCUUAACUGGGAGCGGUCGUUGGAAACUGUUGUGCUUGAGGCGAUGAGAGGGGUGUGGAAUUCCCGGUGUAGUGGUGGAAUGCGUAGAUAUCGGGAGGAACAUCAGUGGCGAAAGCGGCACCCUGGCAUUAGCCUGACGCUCAUGUGCGAAAGCGUGGGGAGCGAACGGG
rnacentral:rRNA from 1 species